rnacentral:rRNA from 1 species
UACGUAGGUGGCAAGCGUUGUCCGGAUUACUGGGCGUAAAGAGCGCGCAGGCGGUCGGAUUAGUCGCGUGUGAAAGCCCCCGGCUCAACUGGGGAGGGUCACGCGAUACUGUUCGACUCGAAGGCAGGAGAGGGAAGUGGAAUUCCCGGUGUAGUGGUGAAAUGCGUAGAUAUCGGGAGGAACACCAGUGGCGAAGGCGACUACCUGGCCUGUUCUUGACGCUGAGGCGCGAAAGCUAGGGGAGCAAACGGG